CCUACGGGUGGCUGCAGUGAGGAAUAUUGGUCAAUGGACGAGAGUCUGAACCAGCCAAGUCGCGUGAAGGAUGACUGCCCUAUGGGUUGUAAACUUCUUUUAUAGGGGAAUAAAAUGUUCCACGUGUGGCGCUUCGUAUGUACCAUAUGAAUAAGGAUCGGCUAAGUCCGUGCCAGCCGCCGCGGUAAUACGGGGGAUUCGAGGGUUAACCGGUUUUAUUGGGUUUAAAGGGUGCGGAGGCGGUGUUUUAAGUUCGUGGUAAAACGUCGGGGUUUAACCCUGAUUGGCCAUUAAAACUGGGGGACUAGAGUAGAGACGAGGUAGGCGGAAUGAGUUGAGUAGCGGUGAAAUGCUUAGAUAUAACGUAGAACCCCGAUAGCGAAGGCAGCUUACCGGACUGUUACUGACGCUGAAGCACGAGAGCGUGGGUAGCGAACAGGAUUAGAUACCCUUGUAGUC
rnacentral:rRNA from 1 species